UAAACCUACUUUUGCCACAACCUGUGGAUUGAAAUUAGUCCCUGGGUCUCUUCCUCUACUUCCAAAAUCUUCUAAGGGUGUUCUAAGCAUCCCAGUGGUCAGAGGGUGGACUGAAUGUGUUAGGAUAGCAUAUCCAGUAACAUUUGGGACAUGGCUCACCUGGCAUGGCCUAUGUACCUGAAUUAUAGCUGUUGUUGCAAGUCCUCUCUCAUGGUAACAGAAUUUCCUUUUUCUUUUUUAAAAUGAAUGUGGCUAGUUUUGCCUUUGCGUGUGGGUGUGGGAGUGUGUAGAAUAACCUAAUUGGCAACCAAUCAUGAAGUUCUCUUUGAGCCUGAUUCUGUCCCAUCAUUUGGAGACCCAUUUUGGUUAAUUUGUUUUUCCAUAUAGUUGCUAGUGGGAAAAAUGCAUUGCUUUGGUACUGAAAUUAACUUGAUUGAUGUGUCUUUGACUUUGUCAUUUUCCAGUGGCUCAAAAGGUUAUUUCCCAAGUGUUUAAUUUUUUUAAGUACAGUGUAUAUUAAUUUAACUGCUACUUUCUGAUAUUCAUCACUCUGUGAAAAAUUAUUACAACUGCGUGCAUUGAACAGACUUUUAUUUACACUGCAAAUUCUAUUCAUUGUAGAGUUAUUCAACUCAAAGAUACCAUGCAAAUUUGACAAAGACGAAGUUUUUAGAAACUUAAACCAUUUAUUGAUUUGCUAAAUAUAAUUUUCACAUUUUCUUUAUAGUAUUCUAUAAUAUAUCUUUCAGAAGGAAACACUUAAAGACUAAUGCAAUCUACAGGAACUGUUCAUUCAGAAGUAAUGAGUGAAGAGGUCAUUCUUGUCUGAAAUACUUACAUUAAAGGGUUUCCAGUCUUUGAGGGUAUUUCAGCUUUUUAAAUAGGUGUUACCAUACCAUGCAGUUAAAACAGAAAAUUGGGCACAAAAUGGUAUACGGUGAGAAGUCUCCCACCCCAUCUCCUAGUCUAUCCCCAAAGGUGCUGAGCAGAUGUGUGCUGAGUGGGAGGCAUACUUUCAGGGAAAACCUGAGGAUCUGAGAGCGGCAGAAGCUGUUUCCCCCUAAGGAAUUCCUCACGUAUGCGAUCGAUUGUGCAGGAAGCGAACUCCAGCCACUGCCAGGCCUUCGUGCAGCCGCUCCUGGGUGAACCAAGAGUCCUUUCCGCACCCGCCUCUGUGAUACCGUUGGUCUGGGAGGCUCGUGGAACUUCUGCGGUGGGUUUAGCACGAAUAAAACUGGCUUUUGCUGCUUUAUUCCCCUAAAACCUCCAGGCUUCCUAAGCAUAGUGUC